AAUACAUUUAUCAGGUAAGCAUAAAUUUUCUUUACAUUUUACUUCUAUUAUCUAAUUUGUUUUGUUCUCCUGGUAUUCUUUAUAGAAAAGGAUACCUAAGUAUGUUCAGUAGCUGCUGAUUGGUGGCUGCACAUGUAUACUUCACGUUAUUUGCUCACCCAAUGAAUUUAAUAGCUCCCAGUAGUGCAUUGCUGCUUCUUCAAAAAAGGAUAUCAAGAGAAUUAAGCAAAUUAAAUAAUAGAUGUAAAGUGGAAAGUUGUUUAAAAUUGUAUGCUCUGUUUCAGGGUUCUUCAAACUUUUCCCCCCAAGACCCAGUGCCAUGAUACCACAUACCUUUAGGACCCAAUUUUUAUACUUGGUCUUGAAAUAAUUUUGUAAGAAAUAAAUAACAUUAUAGCUGCAAUUUUUGGCAAAGAAACUAAAAUAUGUGCAUGCUUUAUUCCUGAUUAUAGUCAAAUAUGAAAGCGUUGUAAAACGUAAUAACACACACACUCUCAUACAACACACACACCACACAUUCUCAUACAACACACAUUUCCAUGUAACACACAUACCACACACUCUCAUACAACACACACACUUUCAUAUAACACACAUACCACACACACUCUCAUACAACACACACACUUUCAUAUAACACACAUACCACACACACUCUCAUACAACACACACACUUUCAUAUAACACACACUCACCCCAUACACUCUUACAACACACACAUACACACACACUUUCAUAACACACGCAUACCACACACAAACUCUCAUACAACACACACACCACACACUCUCAUACAACACACAUUUUCAUGUAACACACAUACCACACACACUCUCAUACAACACACACUUUCAUAUAACACACAUACCACAUACACUAUCAUACAACACACACACUUUAAUAUAAUACACACUCACCCCAUACACUCUUACAACACACACAUACACACACACUUUCAUAACACACGCAUACCACACACACUCAUACAACACACAUACCACACACUCUCUCAUAUAACAUACACACUAAUACAACACACACACACUCUCAUACACAACACAUGCACAGCACACACACAAUCUCAUACAAUACACCACACACACUCCUACAACACACACACAAGUCAGGACCCAGUACACAUGGAGUUGUGACCCAGUAAUGGGUCCCGACCGAUGGUUUGAAGAAUCCUGCUCUAUUUUAAUUAUGAAAGAAAAAUGAUGGGUUUCAUGUCCCUUUAAAGGGACAAUCUAUUCGAAAUUAAACUUUCAUGAUUCAGAUAGGGCAUGCAAUUUUAAACAACUUUCCAAUUUACUUCUAUUAUCUAAUUUGCUCAAUUCUUUAGAUAGCCUUUGUUGAAGAAAUAGCAAUGCACAUGUGUGAGCUAAUCACACAAGGCCUCUAUGUGCAGCAACCAAUCAGCAGCUACUGAGCAUAUCUAGAUAUGCUUUUCAGCAAGUGAUAUCAAGAAAAUGAAGCAAAUUAGGUAAAAUAAGUAAAUCCGAAAGUGGUUUAAAAUGACAUGCUCUUUCUAAAUAACGAAAUAAAAAAAAAUUGGGUUUCAUGUCCCUUUAACUCUGAAUAAUAUGGGCUUUUACUAUGCUGAAAAUUGGUAAUGCAGGCUUCAGACCUCAAAUGAUUAACAAUAGUCUGUAUAUCUUUCUAAUUGGCUUUAGCAUGGACUUUGUGCUAACAUAGAACAAGGAAAGGCAUACUGACAGUAUGAUGUGACUUUAUGAUAACAUACAUAAAACGAGGAAAAGCCUACUGACAGUAGGAUGUGACUAGAGUGACUGUCACAUGAAGUACAUCAGGAUUAGCUCCUCCAAAUAAGGAAAAUGGUGGUGAAAUUUGGCCACUGGAAACUUUUGCAUAGACCAUUACAUUACAGGCAAAGCGGGCAAAAUAAUGAAAGUAUAAUGCAAAGUUGUUUUAUUAUUUAUAAUUAAAUAAUUAAUGUUAUAAUCACAAAGUGUAUUAUGCCCAUGUAACGGGACAGACUAUUGCUGAACAGACUUUAUCUAAUUAUUUUGCAUAUCUAACUUUAUACUCAUUUAUUUGAUGUUGUUUUCUAUUACAGAAACAUGUCAAAGGGUCUAUAAAGACAUUACUGACCAUGAAAUGAGAAGAUGCAUAGGGGAUUGCCAAUCCCACACAAGAAUUGUUUGUGGUCACAGGCCGGUGCCAAAUUCAAGAUCAUAGAACAGAUACAGAUGGACAUCAUAUUAUAUUUUUGUUGUUCUGUCAACAUUAUUGUGCAUCUGCAUUAAACUUGUACCCUAGGCCUAUACUAUAAGUUAUUCUCUGGUUUAUUACAAUGUCAUAUUUAAAAUGUUUUAAUACCUGGAAAAUUUGAAGCCUAAUAAAACUUUAAAUUAUUUUUGUAAGAGUCAA